UAAGCGAGACCAAGACCAAUCCCAUCCCCAGCCGCCGCAUCUGUGGGCAUGCCACCGUUCGCCAGCAGUGGUUGAUUCAAUUGUCGUUUUAGAUCGUGUUAGUUUUGGUUUGCGGUGAUGCAAACAGAUGCUUACUGUGAAAUUGUUGGUUAAUCUAGUGUUGAUCGACCAUUAUCGAUAUAUGCAAUUUUGAGGUACUCUGAAGUUGAUGCCUCCUGUUCUCUGAAUCCUCUUGUGAUUUCCGUUCUCUGAAUCCUCUUGUGAUUUCCGUUCUCCGACUCCUCUUGCGAUUUUCUCUGUGGUGGAUAGAGGUCAUGUGGCUGUGGUUCUUUGAAUUUUCGUCGGAUGUGGUGGGGAAUUUGAUUUGGGCACUCUCGUGAUGGUGAUCUCUGUAACAGGACGAAGAUGAGCGAUAGGUGUAGGCUCGACACCAUCCUGUUUCUUAACUGGAUGGUUAAAAAGACCAUCGGCUUCUUCGUUUCGCUAGCGCAAAACGUACUCAUCUACAUCAGUUUGAGUAACUCAUUUGACAUCAGUUCAAGUAAAUUUGAGAUGUUGCCUUCCUUCAAUCCUUUUUAUCAUUUCGGCUGCUUGGUUGUACAAUCUGUGAUGGAUCCGGAAAUAAAACGAGGAAAAUCUUGAAACCCUUCCCUGUUUCCCGGACCAGCACGAACUAGCUGUCCAGUCAAAAUUCUGAAGUAGGAAGCACACAGUGUGUGCGUGUUAUGCCAAAUCAACACUGAAUUUCAGUCUACCUGAAUUAGCUGAAUUUGGCUCAGAGAAGUGUGACUUCAUAUGCUAAACUGAGAUUUCCACCAUACUUUUUAUCGCAGGUGCUUGGCAGAUGGAUCGAACAGAGAUGGAGAUGAAGUACUACUAAUCCAUUAAUACACGACAGAGUCUAUGUACAGAGAGGUGGACACGAAUUUGUGAUGUUCCUUUGGAUUGAUGGGUAUUCUGUCAAAAUAAUUUACUGUUAGAUCUCUGUAUAGCUUAUUUAUUGUUAUUGGAUUAGCUACUGUACUGGGCUUAUCUGAAUAUAUUCUUAUUAUUUCUUAACGGUGGGUUUAAGAAACCAACCCUUGUAAGCUUCCCUGCUACUGCUCGUCAUGAUCAAAACACAACAGAUGUUCUGUAUGUCAUCCGUGUUAUUUCAAAACCUUCAGAAUUUGUAAAUCUUCUCAUAGGGAUGUUCCAAUCUUCUCAUAGGAAUUACUCCCUUCAUCCCAUAAUAUAAGAGCUUGACACUAGUGUGAAACGUUCUUAUAUUGUGAGACGAAGGGAGUACUAUUUAAUGACUAUUUAAUGAUGUUACUUCAGAAUUAACGUGUUGUGCUUCGACUAGCAAUGCUUGUGCUUUUCCAAGUGAGCUGCUUCGUCCAGUAUGAACACAUGACUGUCCUUAGAUAGUUUAGAUGGUUAAUCCACUGUUGUUUCAGUGAGUAUUAUGUUUGUAAAUCUGCAAUUGAGACACCAACUUUUUGUAGGUGCACCUGAGGUAAUUAUAUUAAAUCAUCAUUGCUUUCUCUCUCUACUCUCGCAAAAAAAUUGCAUCUCUCUACAGAUGUUGUCCUUGAGAUCUCUAGUUUUUCUCAAGCAACAAUUUGCUACACUAUGUAUCAAGGAAAUAUAAACGUACCGUUCUCUUUUACUACUCCCUCCCUCCGAAAAUACUUGUCAUCAAAAUAGAUAAAAAGAGAUGUAUCUAGAACUACCUUUUUAUUCAUUUCGAUGACAAAUAUUUUCGGAGUAAUAAUACUUCUAUCUAGAGAAUGCAUUAGAGCAUCUCCAACCGCCGCCGAACGCGCCGCGCGCUAAAAAUUACUUUGCCGCGCGCCCAUCGCCUGGUUUGGCGUGACAAGCAACGCUGGCUCCAGCAGCGGCGCUAAAAUGCAGCGCGCGUGCAGCUCCAGCAGCGCGCAAAAAUGCAGCGCGCGCGACUCUCGCACAAACAACAUAUGCAUUCCAAAACAGAAGCAAAAGAUCAAACACAAACAAAAUAAAUAGUUCAAUUUCGUUAUUACAACUCAAACAAACAAUUUAUCGUUCAAAACAACAAAUAGUGCAAUAAACACAACAAAUAGUUCAACAAUACAAUGUCGAACGCAUAAAUCAUGAUGCUCUUUAUCGUCCAUUCCAUGCCCACCACUCCUCAAUGAGAUCCUUCUUGAGUUCAUCAUGCGCUGCCGGACGUCGAAUGGCAUGAUAGGAGGCAACAAAACGGGCUACCCUUUCAGCCCUCCGUCGCACUCGCACGGGAUGUCCCAACAACUCAUACUGAGAGUAGUCUACAUCUUGGCCACGCUCAUUCUCGAUGAUCAUGUUAUGCAUGAUCACACACGCGUGCAUGAUGUACCAAAGCAUUUUUUGAUCCCAAAAUCUAGCCGGUCCUCUCACAAUAGCAAUUUGGGCUUGCAAAAUCUCAAAAGCUCUCUCCACAUUUUUUCUAGCCGCCGCCUGAGCAUUGUGGAAAUCAAGAUUUUUCCUACCUUCCGGCUUUUUUAACGGCUUCACAAAGGUUUGCCACUUUGGAUAGAUGCCAUCCGCUAGAUAAUAGCCGUAGUUGUAUGUACGACCAUUUGCUACAAACUGCACCGGUGGCAAAUCACCAUUUGCAAUCUUAUUCAUCAGUGGUGACCGGUUGACAACAUUGAUGUCAUUCAAAGAUCCAGUCAUUCCAAAGAAUGCAUGCCAAAUCCAAGUCUCUUGAUCGGCCACUGCUUCAAGGAUUAUAGUGGAACCUUUUUUUUGGCCGUGGAAUUGCCCAUGCCAUUCCUUUAGACAAUUCUUCCAACUCCAAUGCAUGCAAUCUAUUGAGCCAAGCAUACCAGGAAAGCCGCGAGCUUUGUUCAUCUCCAAUAGCCUUGCGACGUCUUCAGCAUUGGGAGAUCUCAAAUACUCCUGGCCAAACACUUGCACAAUUCCGACUGCGAAGCGCUUGACACACAUGAUGGCCUGGCUCUCACCCAUAGCCAAGUGAUCAUCAACUAGACCAGUCGGGAUACCGUAUGCCAACAUACGCAAAGCGGCUGUUACCUUCUGAAAGGUGCUAUGCCCGAGCUCUCCGGCGGCAUUCCUCCUUUGCUGAAAAAAUCGGUCAUGGCUAGCCAGUUUCUCUGCAAUGCGCCUAAACAACUCGGUGCUCAUCCUAAACCGGUGACGAAAGUACGACUCUGGGUAUGUGGGAUUCUCCACGAAAUAGUGCCUCAUCAAUCUGUUAUGGGCAUCAAUCCUAUCCCUCCGAAUUUUCUGCCGACCCAUAACCGAACCACCGUGCUUCGGUUUUUUGUUGAUGUGCAUAGCUAGGAUCAUUGCAAGAUCCUCCUCCUCUUCCAUAUCAAAUUCUUCUUCGAAAGAAUCAUAUGACAAACUCAUCUACAAUGUUCAAUACUAUGCUAUUAAAACUACAAUCAACAUGCACCAAAUUCAUGAAGUUCGAGCAAUACAUACCUUGCAGGCGUUUUGUCAAACACCUUGCGGGCGCCGAGCGGCAGCGAGCGCCCGGGUGCUGUUCGUCGGAGGACGGACGCGCGCGAGGGGCGGUGAUGACUAGAGGGGGAGGGGGGAGGAAGCCGCCGCAACGCAGAGAUAGGCCGGGGAAGCGCCGGAACGGUCGCUGGGUGGCGCGGGCGGCGGCGGCGCCGCGGCUGGAGGGGGAGUUGUGAGCGAGCGCGCGGGAGCGAGCGCAGCAAAUAGGCGGCGCACGAUGGAGUUUCGGCCCGCGCACUGAACUACAUAUGCCGCGCGCGCGGUUUUUGCGCGCCCGCUGGAGCCACUAUACCGGCUGCGCGCGCGCUAAAAUGGGCAAUUUUGCGGCGCGACGCUUGUUUGGCGCUGCUGUUGGAGAUGCUCUUAGAAUCAACAUUCCGGAAGAUAGAGACCAUCGACUUAAAUAUGUAUUGCAUUUUGCUCAAUUCCAAACCUUGGAAAUAGAAUUAAAAUGAACAUGUUCAGACCAAAACAGCAUGCCAAAGGAGAUUGUAUUUUUCACAUUAAUUUUUUUUGAACCGGACGUACCCCUUUCCAUUUGCAUUAAACGGAAAUACAAAAGUUCCAGGUAACUAGGGAGAAGGGAAAGGAGGCAGCGAGUUCAACGCACUGACAGGAAAUCCACCGUGCCCGCCUGUCAUCGAAACGAGCACUAUGGGGCGAAAACCUGAUAACACCAUACAGUCUAAACAACAUACAAAUCCAGAACACCAACUAAACAUGAGAACUAAAGGGACUCAGAAAGCCCAAAACGACUAGCAUGCAAGCUGUGAUGUAAUGUAGCCAAGCUUAUCACCAGGUCAGCACCUCUCCAUCAUCAUCCGCCGUGCGCCUGGCCUUCUCACACAUCGCCAUCAGCCUGGUCAAGCUUGAGCGAAUCAUCUCUGCACCUUGGCGUAGCUCCUCCGCUUCUUCCUUGUUCUGAAGUCCUGCCCAGUACAAAAGAAAAGAACAUGCCGAAAACACAAUCUCAAAAGAAGAUUUAAUUAACUUCUUCUCAAAGGUAGCCCUAUUAUGAGCCAACCAUAUAGCCCAGGUCACAGCAGCCAGGCCAACUGUGAAGAAUUUAGCUCCAUUCGGCAUAAACAUAUUGCACCACACAUAAUAUUGCCAAGCAUUAUAGGACACAGGUCAGUCCCCAGGACCACACCAAUUGAUCUCCAGGCAACUCGCGCCACGGGGCAGGAGAAGAACAAAUGAGAAUCUGUUUCCAGCUUACCACAAAAGAAACACACAGGGUUUCCUGGUCAUUUUUUUCUUUCCAUCACAGAUCUGGUGAGCGCCGCAUCUUGGGCCAUUUACCACAAGAAUACCUAGAUUUUAAGAGGAAGUUUUGCUCCCCAGAUUCAUUUAUAGUUGCAUCCACUAAUAGGCUUCUUCAGCCACUUGUACAUAGAUUUAGUAGUAUACUUGACAUUUUUAUUGAGCCCCCAAUAAACCGAGUCUCUAUCAGCAGAGAGGUUUAGACCCGCAACUAGCGCACGUAUUAAUCCAAUGCAGUUAAAUCUAUGUACAAGUGGCUUCUCCAGCCACUUGUACAUAGAUUUUUCACAUAAAUUCAAUGCAGUUAAAUCUGAAAACAACAAUGGCAUGGAGUACAGGGCCGGAAACUUCAAACAUGUAUUGCUAGCUUUCAAAGAUUCAUUUCAACAUGGGGAGAAAUAACAAGGUGUUCACAACGGCUGCCAAGAAGAAGGUUGCUAAAUGCAAGGAACGUGUAGACUGAUCUGGACCAAAGAUUUGCAAUCCAAUGGCACAAGUUUUGUUUUCAUAUUUUCACUGAAAUUGAGUUUCCAUUGGAUGGUCGGUGGUUUCAGGGCGCGCUAUGCUGGCCACUCACGGUGUGUUUUUGGUGGGAGUUAUGCUGGGUUGACAUUGGCCCUUUUUUUUUGAGUACGGCCCUCAUAGGCAUUUUAUUCACUCAACCAUCGUACAUUGUCUGAGUGAUACACAUCACUAAAAAAAAA
rnacentral:lncRNA from 1 species